UGGCCAUAGGACCUCGAAAGCGCCUCAUCCCGUCCGAUCUGCGAAGUUAAGCGAGGUGCCGCCCAGUUAGUAGUACCACGGUGCCAGUGGGGAACCACGCGGGAGG